rnacentral:lncRNA from 1 species
AUCUCCUUCAUGAUCAAGUUAACAGUAGGUAAGUGUAAUGGCUAAACAGGUUCUUAACUUCUAGAAGCAUAAUCUUUAUUAAUUUCAGAUGGCAUAGGAAAGAGAAAAGACAAAAAGAAAAAGAAAAAUGACACCAAAAGGAUUUAAAACGGAGAAAAAAAAGAGAGGCAGCAAAUUCAGUUACCUUGUUGAUAAUAAGCUCUGCAUGUUUCACAAGCAGCAAUAGUGUGUCACCUGAAGCAGUACCAAUAGUGGCAGUGCAGUUCAUUUUUAUCAUACAAUAGAUUUCAAGACAUAAAUCAAUUAUCCACAUUAGACACAAGUACAACCAUGCUCAUGAAAGGUCAAAGACCACUUAUCCAUCAUCACAUGCAAUCAGAAUUAAUACCUGAGACUCAGCUAUUAAGCGAACCAUGGGCAGAACUAUUGGUUACAUCACAAAAUUUCGACGUUUCGUACAAACAGGUGGAAUUUGGAAGCGCCUCCAAAAGAAAUCAAUCGAGAGGUUGAGAAAAAUUAAAGAAAAAAAAAAGAAAGAAAGAAAUACAUGCAGGAAGCAGAGGAGGGCACAGUCUGGGGCUAUGCACUGAGGAUGGUUGUUCCUUGCUAGCACUGUAAUGAUCACUUCCAGUUCUUCCACAUGGACCUAUCAGAAACCCUAACCUCAAAAUUGAUGCGAACCUAGAAUUUGAACUGGAGUCAACUCUAAAUCGCUUGGGUAAUCUGGGUGAAUUCUCAUUCAAAAACAUGACCAAGCUAUUCAACUUAGCAUUAAUAAGAUACUGUGGUGCAUCAAGUUCUGCCCAUCGAAUCUUCAGACAUAGAGACUUCACGUAAGAGCACCCAUAUAUAAUUCUUCCCAUUAAAGACGAAUCCUUCUGCUGAAAUUUCUCCAGAAUGGUUACAUCUUCAGAACCACCAUAUUCAAGGUCUUGGUCCUUGUCUGGGUUGCUCCGUUCAGUGUCUCAUUUGAUCCAGUUCUGAAUCUAUUCAUGUCCACGGGUAUUUCCACCAGAUGCUUCAGCAGAUACAAGUGCGGAUACAGUGCUCUCAAUCACAAGAGAAUCACUCUGACGCCUUGCAUGUAGAAGGCCAAUCGUUGUCUCCAAUUUUCUUCAUUAUAGGUUCAGUGACGAGAUGACAUUUGAGAAUCUGGUACUGAUCAAACUUUUUCCUGGAAGGAGCAUUGAACGAGUCCUCUUCAUGGUCUGCAUUCCCGGCAGCUGUGGGCUUUGAAAAUGGCGCACCCAAAGGUGGCCAUGCACUCUUAUGCAGAAGUGGGGGCCCAUGGUGCUAUAGUUGAGCAUUGAAUAUGGACUUCAGGUCUUCUAAUCUUGGAUAGACUUCUGAUGCUUCAUUCAAGCACAUGACAUGGCAUCUCCUGCUUUAUUUCCCUUGUACAGGGCAGCCAUACCUGGGAGGAUUCCACCAUGGUCCUUUUGCCAUUGACGAAAAUCUCCAUGCAGCUGGUGAUACGACAUUCUUAUUCAGACUUCGACAAAUUGCUCACAGACAGUUUCCUUCAACUGAGAUAUCAUGUUGUCAUUGAUCUUCAGGUGUUCAGUUUCACAAAUAACUUUUUGUGCUUCAGACGUAUCAAAACACCCAGAAUCGAAAAUUAAUCCCCAAUCAAUUGGAUUCAACAACUUCUUUGCAUGUGUGAAGGCAAAAGAACAAGAAGCCUAAUGCUUUCUGGUUCUAAAAUAUCACAACCUACCGAAAAUUGCAAAUUCUGCAGGGCUAGAGAAACAUUAGGCGGAACCAUUUGCUUACAGUGGAGAUGAGGGUGGAAGGAAGGCAAGAAACAUGGAUGACUUGUUCUCCUUUGGCUUCUUGCUUAGUAACUCAUCAGUGAAUUCUAGCUCAACUGUUGUUUUCAUUGUGGGUGUCUUUGAUUCACUCCUCUGAUCCGAAGUGGGUAGCUGUCCUUGCUCCAGUAAAUCCGGAACCGAAAUUUGUCAAACAAUCUUGCAAUAGGAGCAGCUCCUUUUUCGGGGUCUUUAAGCUUCACACAGAGGCCUUGAAUGAGAGAGUCCCAUUUCUUCAGAAAAACCUCCAAAUAAAUCAGAAAAACCUCCAACCUUGAUAGCUUUUGCAUACACUGCUGCUGCAUCACUUUCUUCUCAUGUAAAGACUCGGCACCUUUGGCAAUGCCAUUGCACCAGAGCCACUAUACAGACCUCUGAAAAUGAAUGGUGAUCUAGCCAUACACCAUUAACGAGCUUCUCACCAAACUGCUACUUGUUGAAACUGUUCUUUGUCAUGUUAUGGCCAUGUCUAGCACCUUCCAUUCCAUGCAUGACCUGAUUAAGUCCUUCAAGUAAGUAUUCAGACCAUAGCUUAGCAAAAAGAGAGUCCCCUGGAAUCCCUUUAAGACCGGGUAUGCUGAAGUGAUUUGAGUGCCAUGAAGGACAGGUGAAGGACGGACAUUACACAAUUGGGAUCGCAGUACCUUCUCAGCCAUGGUAACACGAAGUCUACACAUAGUUCAUCAGUUGAAGCGUGCUCAUGCACAAGACUUGGGCACCACAGAUCUUGGAUUAUCAGCAUUUUGGUGACUGCUCAGAACCUAAACUUUAUAUCAUCAUCUAUGACUCCCAUUUCUGGAGACUUUUGGGGUUAGGUUUCUUCAUUGGCUACUCCAGAAAGGACCACAUAAAGCCUCUCUGGAAAUGGUUUUAGUUCUCCAUCUGAAAAUUCACUCUGGUUUGUUAGCAUCAAGGUAGGGACCUGUGCAAGGCUCCAUAUUCUUGUACCAAGCGUCUCUGCUUCUUCAGGCUGGCAAAAUGCAGCUCGAACAUCAUCUUGUUUGCCAUUUCAUGCAUCGACGUUCAUUCUCCCCUACCAAGUUGGGAUUUCACUUUGCUCAUACUUCUUUCCCCAACAAAGAUAUCUCAGACCCUGCUAGGAUCAAAGCUUGAAGCAGUGCCGUGAAAUAGAGGUCUAGUUUGUCCACACCUUCUCUCGGCAAUCUCAGUUUCCUUGAAAAUCUGGGGUGUGCCUUCCAGCAACUGCAUGAGCACCAGUGUACCGAACAAGCUUCAAAACUGCUCCCUGGCGAGCAGCAACAAUCUCCGUCUUACUAUCCACCAUUGUCUUAGGAAAAUUCUCCACAAUUAUGGUAUCCUUCAAAACUUUAUUGAAGCCUGAAGAAAUACCCUUUGUGAUCUGAUCCUUAGUGCAGGCUCUGGGGGUUCUGGAGAUAUCUCCUCUGCAGGUAAAUUAACUUCCCAUGCAAUCGCAACUUGAUUUUGAUCCUGCUAGUUCCAUUCUCGGAUUUUAUUGGAAGCACAGAGCCACGAACUGAUCCUUUCCUACAAACACUUGGUGAGAAAAUUCUAGUGUAGAAAUGAACCCAUGCUCUUUCCAUGGAACGAAACCCGAAAAUUGUAGAUUCAUCUAUCAAUCAUGCAAAGCAACACAAACACCAGAGAAACAUCUUCAUAGUGUGAGCCCACAAACAUCCAACCACAAACUGAGAACUCUCUUAAACGAAGACCACCUCUGCAUCUGACUAACCAUAAGCAGCCCCCAUUGUACCCAAUCUUCACAAAGUUUCCACCUCUCUCGAAAAUAUUCUUGUUAUUAUGAUCUCCAUAGCCAGGGCACCAAAGAAGGGAAGGGGAAGAAACACAGAUGCAGAAGCAUAGAGAUGAAAACCAAGAAAAACGGAGAAAAGGCAGACAAUGGGUGAGUAAUCAAACAAGCCACAUGUCAUUAUUUGUCAAUGGGCUUGGGCUGGUAGGAAGGACACUAGCAGAUUCCAAAUAAGAGAAAGACGGUCAAUAUCUUUAAAUAAUACACAAUGACAUAGGGCCUCACUGAGUUCAAACAAUGCUAAAAGAUAUAAAAUAAAAAAAAAAAAAAAAAACGAAUGAAACAAUAACAAGAAGCUUAUGAACAAAUAAAAAAUCAACAAAACUCACAUGUGGUCUGUGUCAUCCACAACCAAACAAGCAAACCAAACCCCAAACAGCAAAAAGAGAAGAUAAAUGACAUAGGAAAUGAAGGUGAACAAGAAAAUACCCAGUAAACUUCCCUGAGAAGUCCUCUAAGCAGCAGAGUUUGUUGAAUUUCUCAAUGCUCUCCCUCUAAUAGUCAUUCUUCCUUGAGCCCUUCUUCCUUUCCUUUCUGGUGUUCUUCUCUCUGCCUCUAACUCACUCCCUUACUGCCCAAACCUCCUCUCUAAAACCUCCUCAGGACUCCAAAACUCCUCAAAACCCAUUAGAAGAAAAGAAUCAAUCUCCCUACUAACAGCUCCCAAAAACCAUCAGCAACAGAGUGCUUUCCCCUAUAGCUCAGAACCCUCCCUCUGUUUUUUUUCUUCUCUCUACUCUAAAACCCAGAAAGUUCCAGCUCUCUUCUGCUUUUCGUUUUCUUAGCAGCUCCCUCACAUUUUCAUGUUCUCUCUCAUCUUCCUCUCAAAUUUCCACUCAACUCAUUCUCUACAACCUAGGAAAGUCAGUAGGCUCACCUCCUCUCUCCCAGCUCAGUCACCAAGUUCACCUCCUUUCCUUCUCUCAGCUCCCGCACCUGAAUAUCCUCUACCCGGAAUAUCCUCCUGACCACCACCAUGUCAGACAACAGUGUCCUUUGCUACGUGUCUCUUACAUCUCACUCCCCUGCAGAGAUUGUCCCCACUCUCUUUUCCAAAAACGUGCUCCAAAAGGGUGGGCCCCACAAAGGGCCAAAAAUGUUGAGUAAAGACGGAUGAAUAAAGAGUGAUGAAAAGGUGAGAAAUAAAAAAAUUAAAAAAAAAAGU